rnacentral:tRNA from 1 species
GCCGGAGUGGCGGAAUUGGCAGACGCGCACGGCUUAGGACCGUGUCCCGCAAGGGGUGGGGGUUCAAGUCCUCUCUCCGGCA